rnacentral:lncRNA from 1 species
CUUUCUUCAGAAGUCGUUGAGCCUUCAUAAAAGAUACAAUUUUGCAAGUCUUUGGAACUUGACUCCCUCUUAGAAUAAAGUGGGUUCAUUUGGUAUCUCAAACUUAACUAUCUUUGCAUGACAAUCGACUAUAGCAUAGCAAGAAGAUAACCAAUCCAUUCCCAUAAGCAUGUCAAAGUCAAUCAUAUCAAGUACAAUAAGGUCAGUUAGAGUAUCUCUAACCUCAACCUGAAUCUGACAAACAUGAUCCACGUAUUCAGCUAAUAGAGACUCUCCAACACGAGUAGCAACUAGAAAAGGAUCAUUCAAUAGCUCAGGAUGUCUACUAAAUCUCAAAGCAAAGUACGAGGACACAUAUGAGUGAGUAGAUCCCGGAUAAAUCAACGCAGGUGCAUCAAAUGAACAGAAAUAAAGAAUACAUGUAACCACAUCUCUCAAGGCCUGAGCAUCCUGUCUAGUAAAUGCAAAAACUCUCAUCUGACCUCUACCAGCAUUGCCUUGUCCUUGAUUCACAGUAGCAUGGUCUCCAGCACCUAGACCUCUAUUUCCUGUACCUGUAGCACCUGAAGUAUUAUGAGUAGUCUGAGUCGGUGUAGCUGACAAAAUAGAAGCCUAGUUAAAAUUUCUUGGAGGCUGAGGGCAAUCCCUCAACUGAUGUCCAAACUGGUCACACCGAAAGCACUCUCCAGUUAGAACAUGACAUUGGCCCAAAUGUGAUCUACCACAAGUCUGGAGGAAUGGAGUAGUGGCAUAUAUCUGCCCAGAAUUACGAUGUCCAGAAGAUGAUGGUCCCCUAUUACCUUGUCUGUAAUGUGGUCUGUACGUGGACUGUGAAGACAUGUGUGUCCAUAUAUGAGAACCAUGUUGUUAUUGUCCCUGAUUCCCUGCUCUUCUAUUUUCACUAAAACCACCACUGAUGUGGAUUGUGAAGACAUGUGUAUCCCUAUCUAAGAACCUUGUUGUUGUUGUUGUCCCUGAUUUCCUGCUCUUCUAAUUUCACUAAAACCACUGUCACACCCCCUUUUUAAUAAACUCUAUUUAUUCCUCUUAAAUAAAUAAAAAGAUUUAUAAAGCUUGAAAAAAAGGGUUUUAAAUUUUUCAACGUGACAAAGAUCGUAUUCGAAAUGAAAACUCAGAGUCGCCACCUGGCAAUUGAUUUCGAUGUGCCAGGUCCGAUUUUUUUUAAAAAAAUAGUUUUCCUUUUAAAACACUUGGACUCAAAACUAAGUCCGCACCAGAUGUUUGGGUAAGGGGGUUUAUUUGACUCAGGGAGAAGGUUUUAGGAACCCCCCAAGUCCCGUGAAGGUCAGGAUCACGUACUCGAUCUAAUUGGCUUUUAGAAUAUUCGAAUUAAGAUAAAACACACAAAAGAAGAUAAACACAAAGAGGUUUGAGGUUGUCCGUGCCUAAGAUAAAAGAAAAAUAAGAAUAAAAUUAAAUACUACACAAACUCGUCACAGCCUCCAGAAUAUUUACAAAAUAAGGAGAAUUAAAUAAAAGGGAACUUCAACUCAUCGUCGUUUUCAUUUUUAAUAGUGAACUCCCCAGAUCCCCUUAUCAUUCUAUCCAAAUAAACAUAUAAACAGUGGAAAACACUAGCCAAUUAGGCUAAAUCACAAGACCAAAUAGUGAACAUGGAAACAUAUAAAAAUUGAAUAUAAACACCUAAGAGGGAACUAUCCAGAAGGUAUGGGCUAAUGGACUAACUAGUAAAAUAAAUAACAAAUAAAAGUAAAACAGGAGAAUGCCACGAUCAGGGCUGGAAUAUAUGACAAACACCUUGCAAUGUCAUUUUAUUUUCUCAAGGUACUCCUUAAUCCAUAGCUCAAAUCAAACAGGCGCAAGUAUAGACCCCUUUUGUGUUUUAAAUUCAAAAGAAACAAGCCAAUCAUCCUCUCAGGGUCUAUCACUCAUACGCUUAAAGUGGAAGACACAUGAGGAAUCGACAGUGACAUUAUUCACAUUUCAUGUAAGUAGGACAUUAGAUAGGCAACUCAAGGAAAACAAGGACACCUAUCGGAAUGGCACGAGAACAGAAUGAAAUCAUCAAGAAACAGAGCACGUUCACAUUGAGGCACGACAAAUCAGUUGAACGUGCAAACAUAACUCACUCCAAAUCUAUGAGUAGCCAAACUUAAUUAAUCAGAAGAAAUCGAUGGCAAACUAAUCUUAAAAAAACUAAUGGCCUAGAAACUACAAGGACUAGAUUGUUGAAGACAAAAUCAACUCGACUUCAAUUCUAAACCAGUAGUUACACUUCAUCAAACUUCCAUUUAAUCCUUGAACUUAAACAAGAAGGUUAACUGGUUUUUGGAUUUUAUGAUAGGAUUUUAUGAUAGGUUUAAGUAUGAUAUGUGAUUAUCAGUCAGUCUGGGAGGAGAAACAGUGCAAGGAAUUAUGCAGAUUCAAAUCAAAUUGCGACAUCAGAGAAAUCAUGAUAGAAUGAUGGACUAAGCACACACGAACUAAUGGAAUUGACUCGAUUAAGAUUCAAGGAUUCGUUCAGUUUUAGAAAUUAAGCAGAGCUAACCAAGCUAAUAAUAUACAGAGAACAUCAGAAUAGUUUCAAAAACUCAUUUUAACAUAUAAACUCAACCAAACCAAGUAGUAAUAUUCAUGAUAAUGGCAAACAAACACAUUACGACCAACAGUCACAAGACCGAUUCGAGUUUCAUUUGUUAAUCUCAAGAGCCAAUACUUUCCUCUAAUAGUAACCGAGCAUUAGGCAAUUCCUAACCAAGUAAGCUUCAACUCGUAUCUUGUUUCAAUCAACACAAAAAUUAGGGAGAAAGGGAAUCCAAAAGGAACCUGAAUAUGAGCUUUUGAUUAAUCUUGUUUGGAAGCAAUACAGAGAAAAAUGGCGUCAUAAUUCGAGUAUCUGACAGAGAGGAUGCAAGGAAGUAACAAAACAAGUGUAAGAGCCACAAACUUCGGACUCGUCAACUCCAAACGCAUCGAACGAAUUCCAUAAUUUGACCACCAAAUUUCGAAAUUCAAACAGAAGAAAAGAAUAUAUAUAUAUAUAUAUAUAUAUAUAUAUAU